rnacentral:rRNA from 1 species
GAUGAACGCUGGCGGCGUGCUUAACACAUGCAAGUCGAACGAAGCUGCUUAACUGAUCUUCUUCGGAAUUGAUGUUUUGUAGACUGAGUGGCGGACGGGUGAGUAACGCGUGGGUAACCUGCCCUGUACAGGGGGAUAACAGUUAGAAAUGACUGCUAAUACCGCAUAAGACCACAGCACCGCAUGGUGCAGGGGUAAAAACUCCGGUGGUACAGGAUGGACCCGCGUCUGAUUAGCUGGUUGGUGAGGUAACGGCUCACCAAGGCGACGAUCAGUAGCCGGCUUGAGAGAGUGAACGGCCACAUUGGGACUGAGACACGGCCCAAACUCCUACGGGAGGCAGCAGUGGGGAAUAUUGCACAAUGGGGGGAACCCUGAUGCAGCGACGCCGCGUGAGUGAAGAAGUAUCUCGGUAUGUAAAGCUCUAUCAGCAGGGAAGAAAAUGACGGUACCUGACUAAGAAGCCCCGG